AAAGAAUCGAUGACAAUAUUGUAUUAACAUCAAAGUAUUUUAAAGGGGUUAUUAAGGAUAACUAUCAAAUUUAUAUAAAAGGAGGGUAAUAACCAAAUGCUUUCUAAAAUAUUAAUUAUUUUAGAUUCUGGAAAGCGAUCCUAAGGUAAACCUUAAGUAUUAAAUACUUCCUGAAGUAAAACAUUUUAUUAAGGAAAGGAAAGGAAAUCAACCGAGACUCCGAAAGUAAUGGUGAGUGAAAUCGGAUUAGCCUAAUUUAAUUUAUAAAUUGAAUUAAUAAAAAUCUUUAUUUUAUUAGAGUAGUAUGAUUCUUACUUUAUUAAAAUUUUUUAUUUUUAUUGGCAUAUUAAUAAUAAUUUUAUUAAUAUUGUUUCUAGAAUAGGUAAAAAUCUAAGUCCUGUAAAUUUAUAAAAAAAAAGUUAAAUUAAAUAUUAAAAGUACGACGAGAGAUAACUUGUUGGAAUAUAGGGGAACCAUCCUCUAAGGCUAAGUAUUAUAAAUUUAGAGAUAGUGAACAAGUACUGUGAAGGAAAGUAAUUGAAAUAGAAUGUUGUAAACACUACGUAGAAAAUUUAAAAUUUUUAAUUAAAUUUUCAUAUGAAAUAACUUGAAUUAGUAACUCUAUAAGCAGUCGAAAUUCUACUUUAAUAAAGAUUAAUGAAUGACGGCGUACCUUUUGCAUAAUGGGUCAGCAAGUUAAUAGGAGUAGCAAGGUUAAAAGCCCUAGCGAAAGCGACUGGACUAUAUAUUGAUAUAGUGAUGGAUAAGUUACUUCUAUUAGACCCGAAGCGAAGUGAUCUUACUUGGACCAGAUUAUAAUGGAUCGAACGGGUGAAUGUUGCAUAAUUCUCCGAAGAGUUCAGGUAAGCGGCGAAAUACCAAUCUGACUUCGUGCUAUCUGGUUUUCUACCGAAACAUAUUUAAGUAUGACAUCUACAGUAAUAGAUUUAUGGAGGUACAGAAAGGCAGCUCCCAACAAGAAUUAGGUUUAAAUGUAAAGUGUAAAAAUUUUACAUUAACCUUUUUGGCGUUUAGGUUGCGGGGACGUAGAAAUCUUACCUUUGGAGGAGAAUCUCGGAAUUACAUAAAUUGAUAGUAGAUAUUCAGACUAUUCAUGCUAAGUUGAAUAGUCAAGACGGAAACAGCCGAGAACACAGAUCAAGGUCCCAAAUGAUUGUUAAGUGAAAUUAAGGACGUAGCAAAAUCGUAUACAGCUGAAAAGUGAGCCUGGUAGUCGCUACUUAUAAUGAUCGUACGUAACAACGCAUCAGCAGUUUAGAUUGCAGCGCCGAAAAUUUAACGGGUCUAAAACAAUCAACCGAUAUCGUGUUGGUAUAGAAUUAAAAUGUUUAUUAAUUUUAAUUCUUUAUCUAGGUAGUAGAACAUUCAGUCAAUCUAUUGAAAAAAUAGUGUUUCAUUAUUUAUAUAGGCAACUGAAGAGAGAAUGCUGACAUGAGUAACGUAAAAGAAGUUAAUAAUACUUCUCGCCGAAAACGAAAGGGUUGCACUAAAAAGAUUAAAUCGUAGUGUGUUAAUGCGGCCUCUAAGGACCCUAACCAAAGUUAUGGCUGAUGAGUAAAUAAUAGAAAGUCCUUUUAUAAAAGACCAGGAAAUUAAUAUUAAUAAUAUUAUUAUAUUAAUAAAUUUAAAAAGUAAAGACUAUAUUUAUAUUAUUUUAUAUAAGUUAAGUAUAGUCUGAUUAUUAAUAUGAUUUAUUUUACUACCGUACCCUAAACCGACACAGGUUCGUAGGUAGAGAAUACUAAGGCGUAGAGCUAAAAGUUGUUAAGGAACUCGGCAAGAUUAACUCAUAAGUUUGACGACAAGAGUUACCACUUAUAUAUUUUUAUUUAAGAGAUAAAUUAUAUAGGGAGGUGUCACAGAAUCGGAGGCCCCGACUGUUUACUAAAAACACAAUUCAGUGCAAUGAUGAAUAUCAUAGUAUACUGAAUGAAAUUUGCCCGAUGCCAUUAAUAUAAGAGAGGUUAUUGAAAAAUGUAACUAAUUGAAAGUCUGGUUAAUAGCGGUCUUAACCAUGAGGAUCCUAAGGUAGCAAAAUCAGUUGGCCUUUAAAUGAGGUCCGGUAUCAAUAGUGUAACGAUGGUCUCACUGUCUCUACAACUUGCUCAGUGAAAUUGAAUUACCCGUGAAGAUGCGGGUUAUCUUCAGAGGGACGGGAAGACCCUAUGCAGCUUCUACUGUAGUUAGUUAUCAUGUAAAUCUAGAACAGCCUUCUCCAAUAGAGAAUAGGGAUGUCGAUAGACUAAUUUUGGAAACCUUAUAGUUAAGGCUGGGUUUAUGUUUACCUAUUUUGUAUUCUAACGAACAAAAAGGGAGAGUUGACUAAUUGGCAGUUUGACUGGGGCGGUCGUCUUUAAUAGAGUAGCAAAGUACAUCCAAUUUUUUCCACAAUGGCCCAGCCAUAAAAAUAAUUAAUUAAAUCAAAGCCUUGUUAGGCCAAAAAAAAUCAUUUCUAAUUUUAACAAAUAAUUUCUGCUGCAUAGCAUGCGCGGAUAAUUUUCCCCUGCUUGCGCAGCAGCCAAGCACAAAUAAUUUCUUGCCAUUGUUACUAAUACUAAGUAUUAUGUAAUAGCACGCUUUUUUAAAUUUAAUAAAUUUAAUUAAAGAAAAGAAAUAAUUAAUUAAAAAUUUUAAUUAAGAAAAUAAAAAACCUAGUUGGCCUCCUUUUUUUAAAGUAAGUAGGAAAAUCAUAAUAUUUGAUUUUUAUCUCCCAUUUCUUCGAAGAUCGAAGAUCGAAGAUCGAAGAUCGAGCUAUUUUUAAUAGUAAUAAUAAAUUCCCUCCGGCCUCCGGAGAGAUUGAAAAAUGUAGAAGUUUAAUUAUUUUAUUUUAUAAAAUAGGGGGGAUGGUCAAUUAGAAAAAAAAAAAUUUUUCUUUUGCAGUAGUAAAUUCUAGCUACGCAGCAAAAAUUAAUAAAUUGAAAAAUAUUUUUAUUUUUCAAAAAACAUUAGUAAUUAAAAGGUAUAGCUAGAAAUUGUAUGGAGAACAAUCAACCAGUGAAGGGUUGCGCAGAGUUCAAUGGCGGAAAGCAUGCUUAACUGAAAGACCUAUAAGUCGCACAGAUACGUAAGUAGGGCAUAGUGACCCCUCGCUAUAGUAUGGAAUAGACGGGGAACAAUAGAUAAAAGUUACGCUAGGGAUAACAGGCUGAUCACCGACGAGAGUACACAUUGUCUCGGUGGUUUGGCACCUCGAUGUCGACUCAUCCUAUCCUCCGGGGGAAGAAGCUUGGAAGGGUUCGGCUGUUCGCCGAUUAAAAGGGUACGCGAGUUGGGUUUAAUACGACGUGAGUCAGUAUGGUCCCUAUCUUCUGAAGAGAUAAGUAGUAAAAAGGGGCAGACCUUCUAGUACGAAAGGAUCAAUAGGCUGUGUUUCUCUAGUGUACCAAUUGUUUUAACUUUAUUAUAAGGGACUCAAUUUUAUUGAGGAAAAUCCUUUUUAUUAUUUAUUAUUCAUUUGUUUGCACCUAAGAAAUUAGGUUAAGGGAUUUUUUAAUAAUUAAAAGGUAAUAAUUAGGAACGCAUAGUUGGGUAGCCACAAACAUAAAAGAUAAGUGCUGAAUGUAUAUCAAGCAAGAAUCUAACCUCUGGAUACUAAAAAUGGAUAAUUACAAUUUUUAUUAUUAAUUUUAUUUUUAGCCCUAAAAAAGCUAAAGAAUCAAAUAAAAGUUAAUAGUUAUUAAGAAAGGGAGACUUUUCUUA
rnacentral:rRNA from 1 species